AACGAACGCUGGCGGCAGGCCUAACACAUGCAAGUCGAGCGCCCAGCAAUGGGGAGCGGCGCACGGGUGAGUAACACGUGGGAACGUGCCCUUUGGUUCGGAAUAACGCAGGGAAACUUGUGCUAAUACCGGAUAAGCCCUACGGGGGAAAGAUUUAUCGCCAUUGGAGCGGCCCGCGUCUGAUUAGCUAGUUGGUGAGGUAACGGCCCACCAAGGCAACGAUCAGUAGCUGGUUUGAGAGAACGACCAGCCACACUGGGACUGAGACACGGCCCAGACUCCUACGGGAGCAGCAGUGGGGAAUCUUGGACAAUGGGGGAAACCCUGAUCCAGCCAUGCCGCGUGAGUGAUGAAGGCCCUAGGGUUGUAAAACUCUUUCGGCGGGACGAUAAUGACGGUACCCGCAGAAGAAGCUCCGGCUAACUU
rnacentral:rRNA from 1 species